rnacentral:tRNA from 1 species
GACCCGGUAGUUCAAUCGGAUAGAACAUUCCUGUCGCAGGGAAAGGUUGCAGGUUCGAUUCCUGCCCGGGUCUCCA